UCCCUGGUAGUAUAUCGGUUAGUACACGCGCCUGUCAUAAUUGAGGCAAAUCUAAUGCGCGCGAAAGCUGGGUUCGACUCCCAGCCAGGGAG